CAUUUAAGUACAGGGACGCUUUAGAAGUGAUGUUGCCGGGCGAUGGUUGACCCGGUCGUAAGGGAUCGAAAAUGAGUAGAGAAGUCAUCAUGGAAAGAGACAAGAAAAGCUGUAUGAAUAUCUUAGGUGCCCGUACCGCAAACCGACACAGGUAGAUAGGAAGAAGAUUCUAAGGCCAACGGGAGAAGGGUUGUUAAGGAACUCGGCAAGUUGACCCCGUAACUUAGGGAUAAGGGGUGCUCAAGUGAUUGAGCCGCAGAGAAUAGGCCCAGGCGACUGUUUAGCAAAAACACAGGUCUCAGCUAAAUCGAAAGAUGACGUAUAGGGGCUGACACCUGCCCGGUGCCGGAAGGUUAAGAGGAGAUGUGAGAGCAUUGAAUUGAAGCCCCGGUAAACGGCGGCCGUAACAAUAACGGUCCUAAGGUAGCGAAAUUCCUUGUCAGGUAAGUUCUGACCCGCACGAAAGGUGUAACGAUCUGGGCACUGUCUCAACAACCCGCCCGGCGAAAUUGUAGUACCGGUGAAGAUGCCGGUUACCCGCGACUAGACGGAAAGACCCCAUGGAGCUUUACUGUAGCCUAAUAUUGGAUUUCGGUAUUUCACGUACAGGAUAGGGGGGAGACUGGGAAGCACAGGCGUCAGCUUGUGUGGAGUCGACCUUGGGAUACCACUCUUGGAGUGCUGGAAUUCUAACCUGCGGCUUUGAAGCAAGUCGGGGGACAUUGUUAGGUGGGCAGUUUGACUGGGGCGGUCGCCUCCUAAAGAGUAACGGAGGCGCUCAAAGGUUCGCUCUGCAUGGAUGGAAACCAUGCGUCAGAGUGUAAACGCAAAAGCGAGCCUAACUGCGAGAAUGACGGUUCGAGCAGUAACGAAAGUUGGAGUUAGUGAUCCGGCGGUAUGUGAAUGGAAAUGCCGUCGCUCAACGGAUAAAAGCUACCCUGGGGAUAACAGGCUGAUCUCCCCCAAGAGUCCACAUCGACGGGGAGGUUUGGCACCUCGAUGUCGGCUCAUCGCAUCCUGGGGCUGAAUUCGGUCCCAAGGGUUUGGCUGUUCGCCAAUUAAAGCGGUACGCGAGCUGGGUUCAGAACGUCGUGAGACAGUUCGGUCCCUAUCUGUCGUGGGCGUAGGAUAUUUGCAAGGAGCUGUCCCUAGUACGAGAGGACCGGGAUGGACGCACCUCUGGUGCACCAGUUGUCACGCCAGUGGCACAGCUGGGCAGCUAUGUGCGGAACGGAUAAACGCUGAAGGCAUCUAAGCGUGAAGCCGCCCUUAAGAUAAGAUAUCCCUUCUGUUUACAGAGUAAGACCCCUUGAAGACUACAAGGUUGAUAGGCUCAAAGUGUAAGCACGGUGACGUGUUUAGCUAGCGAGUACUAAUCGGUCGAGGGCUUAAUCA
rnacentral:rRNA from 1 species